rnacentral:rRNA from 1 species
CAGAGCCACGGGAAUACGUAGGGUGCGAGCGUUAAUCGGAAUUACUGGGCGUAAAGCGUGCGCAGGCGGUUCGUUGAGACAGAUGUGAAAUCCCCAGGCUCAACCUGGGAAUGGCAGUGGAUACUGGCUCGCUAGAGUGUGUCAGAGGAUGGUGGGAUUCCCGGUGUAGCGGUGAAAUGCGUAGAGAUCGGGAGGAACAUCAGUGGCGAAGGCGGCCAUCUGGGACAACACUGACGCUGAGGCACGAAAGCGUGGGGAGCAAACAGGAUUAGAUACCCCUGUAGUCCCUGUCUCUUAUACA